CACCGGUGGCUGCGGCUCCGGCUCCGGCUACUGCGGCCGCAGCGGGAGAGCUGAUUCCAAACUGAGGGAGCUGUUUCCUGGAAGACAAUGACUAAGCAGAAAUCGUAGCCGAGAAAGUGCUUCGUAACCGUUACUCAUCCCGCGGCGGGGCAGGGGCGGGGCGCGAAUGGGCUGCGGGACGCCGGCCCGCAAGUGACUGGCCCUUGGCCUGCGGCGGGCGUGGCGACGGGUGGUGCGCGGCGGGCGCGCGGGUCGAGAGAGCGUGGCGGCGCGGCCCGGAGCGCAGCGCGCGGCAGGGCUCCCCCUGGCGGUCAGAGGACAGCGCGAGGCAGACACCGCCUCCGCCUGGUGAGGUAGACACCGCCUCCGCCUGGUGAGGUCUCCCGGCGUUCAGGUCGCGGCUCCGCCCACGGCCGCCCCAGGGUGGGCUUCCUACACGUCUCUUUAAAGGGCAGCCUGAGCGGCCACCGGGACUCGGAAAUGCUACGUAGUUUUCGUUCUCAGAAGCAGCUGUUUAUGCGCAAGCGCCCCCUUCUUCUUUUCGCUUUGCUACCUUCAAGGACCUUCUCCCAAACUGCUAAUUUUUCUUCAUCCGUUAAAGGUCUAUUGAUUCACAUUAUUUGCUGGCAGUGUGUGAAGUCAACGAACAAGACUGAGUCUUUGCCCUUGAGACGCGUACACUCUACCCAGAGACAAGUUCUAAGCACAGGAAACAAGUAAUUUUAUAAGAACAUCAUAGGGCAGUUAUUCUCCAGAUGAAUUCAGAUUAAAGAGGACACUUGAGCCGGAUUUGGAGGAAGAGAGCCAUGGUUUGGAAUAGAACAUGAACGAGUGCAGAGGAGUGGAAAUUACCACAGUUUGUUCUGAAGACUGGAUACAGCGGCACCUUCCUGGAGCAGUGGUACCCCUUAAAGGUGAAGGGAACGUGGGUGUUGCAACAGAGGACCAUUAUCAAGAAGACUCUUUUGGGUUUGGUCUGAG
rnacentral:lncRNA from 10 species